rnacentral:misc_RNA from 1 species
GUGAAUCAUCAAAUUUUUGAACGCAAAUUGCGCUUCCUGGCAUCCCGGGAAGUAUGCCUGUUUGAGGGUCAGUUAAAUAAAAAACGGUGUUGUUGCUGCUUUUCGUGGUGACGCGUCGGAAUUGAGUUGUCUUACCUUCGGUUAAGUGACUUAAAAUUUUGCAUGAUUUUUGAACGUAUUUAAUUUUUUUACGAACGGUUGAGAUUUCGAAUACUUUAUUAGUUUCUGUCAUCCUCAUUAUUCGACCCUAUAAUUUUUCAUU